ensembl:snRNA U6 U6 spliceosomal RNA
GUGCUCACUUCGGCAGCACAUAUAUUAAAACUGGAAUGAUACAGAGAUUAGCACAACCUCUGCAGAAGGAUGACACAAAAAUUUGUGAAGCAUUCCAUAUUUUU